rnacentral:rRNA from 1 species
AGAGGUGGCAAGCGUUGUUCGGAAUUACUGGGCGUAAAGGGCGCGUAGGCGGCCUCGUAAGUCCCGUGUGAAAUCCCUCGGCUCAACUGAGGAAUGGCACGGGAAACUGCGGGGCUUGAGUUCGGGAGAGGGAAGCGGAAUUCCGGGUGUAGCGGUGAAAUGCGUAGAUAUCCGGAGGAACACCGGUGGCGAAGGCGGCUUCCUGGACCGAUACUGACGCUGAGGCGCGAAAGCUAGGGGAGCAAACGGGAUUAGAUACCCCGGUAGUCCUAGCUGUAAACGAUGAGCGCUGGGUGUAGGGGGUUUUAACCCCUCCUGUGCCGAAGCUAACGCAUUAAGCGCUCCGCCUGGGGAGUACGGUCGCAAGGCUG